GGGGGAAUUUUCCCCAAUGGGNGAAAGCCUGACGGAGCAAUACCGCGUGAGGGAUGAAGGCCUAUGGGUUGUAAACCUCUUUUUUCAGGGAGGAACAAAAUGACGUGUACCUGAAGAAUAAGCAUCGGCUUACUCCGUGCCAGCAGCCGCGGUAAGACGGNGGAUGCAAGUGUUAUCCGGAAUCACUGGGCGUAAAGCGUCCGUAGGUGGUUAAGUAAGUCAACUGUUAAAUCUUGAGGCUUAACCUCAAAAUCGCAGUCGAACACUGUUUGACUAGAGUAUAGUAGGGGUAAAGGGAAUUUCCAGUGGAGCGGUGAAAUGCGUAGAUAUUGGAAAGAACACCGAUGGCGAAGGCACUUUACCUGGGCUAUUACUAACACUGAGAGACGAAAGCUAGGGUAGCAAAUGGGAUUAGAUAUCCCCAGUAGUCCUAGCUGUAAACCAAUGGAUAACUAGAUGUUGAACAGAUCGACCUGUGCAGUAUCA
rnacentral:rRNA from 1 species